CUGGCUCAGGACGAACGCUGGCGGCGUGCCUAAUACAUGCAAGUCGAGCGGACAGAAGGGAGCUUGCUCCCGGAUGUUAGCGGCGGACGGGUGAGUAACACGUGGGUAACCUGCCUGUAAGACUGGGAUAACUUCCGGGAAACCGGAGCUAAUACCGGAUAGUUCCUUGAACCGCAUGGUUCAAGGAUGAAAGACGGUUUCGGCUGUCACUUACAGAUGGACCCGCGGCGCAUUAGCUAGUUGGUGAGGUAACGGCUCACCAAGGCGACGAUGCGUAGCCGACCUGAGAGGGUGAUCGGCCACACUGGGACUGAGACACGGCCCAGACUCCUACGGGAGGCAGCAGUAGGGAAUCUUCCGCAAUGGACGAAAGUCUGACGGAGCAACGCCGCGUGAGUGAUGAAGGUUUUCGGAUCGUAAAGCUCUGUUGUUAGGGAAGAACAAGUGCAAGAGUAACUGCUUGCACCUUGACGGACCAACCA
rnacentral:rRNA from 1 species